AGAGUUUGAUCAUGGCUCAGAAUGAACGCUGGCGGCACGCUUAACACAUGCAAGUCGAACGAGAUCUUCGGAUCUAGUGGCAGACGGGUGAGUAACGCGUGGGAACCUGCCCAGUAGUAGAGAAUAACUUGGGGAAACUUAAGCUAAUACUUUAUACGUCCUUCGGGAGAAAGCUUUAUGCGCUAUUGGAUGGGCCCGCGUUAGAUUAGUUUGUUGGUGAGGUAACGGCUCACCAAGGCGACGAUCUAUAGCUGGUCUGAGAGGAUGAUCAGCCACACUGGGACUGAGACACGGCCCAGACUCCUACGGGAGGCAGCAGUGGGGAAUAUUGGACAAUGGGGGCAACCCUGAUCCAGCGAUGCCGCGUGAGUGAUGAAGGCCCUAGGGUUGUAAAACUCUUUCGUCAGGGAAGAUAAUGACGGUACCUGAAGAAGAAGAUCCGGCUAACUCCGUGCCAGCAGCCGCGGUAAUACGGAGGGGUCUAGCGUUAUUCGGAAUUACUGGGCUUAAAGAGUUCGUAGGUGGUUGAAAAAGUUGGUGGUGAAAUCCCAGAGCUUAACUCUGGAACUGCCAUCAAAACUUUUCAGCUAGAGUUUGAUAGAGGAAAGCAGAAUUUCUAGUGUAGAGGUGAAAUUCGUAGAUAUUAGAAAGAAUACCAAUUGCGAAGGCAGCUUUCUGGAUCAUUACUGACACUGAGGAACGAAAGCAUGGGUAGCGAAGAGGAUUAGAUACCCUCGUAGUCCAUGCCGUAAACGAUGUGUGUUAGACGUUGGAAAUUUAUUUUCAGUGUCGCAGCGAAAGCGAUAAACACACCGCCUGGGGAGUACGACCGCAAGGUUAAAACUCAAAUGAAUUGACGGGGACCCGCACAAGUAGUGGAGCAUGUGGUUUAAUUCGAAGAUACGCGCAGAACCUUACCAACACUUGACAUGUUCGUCGCGACUUUAAGAGAUUAAAGUUUUCGGUUCGGCCGGACGAAACACAGGUGCUGCAUGGCUGUCGUCAGCUCGUGUCGUGAGAUGUUGGGUUAAGUCCCGCAACGAGCGCAACCCUCACUUUUAGUUGCCAUCAUUUAGUUGGGCACUCUGAAAGAACUGCCAGUGAUAAGCUGGAGGAAGGUGGGGAUGACGUCAAGUCCUCAUGGCCCUUACGUGUUGGGCUACACACGUGCUACAAUGGUAUCUACAACAGGAAGCAAAACAGCGAUGUUAAGCAAAUCCUUAAAAGAUACCUCAGUUCGGAUUGCACUCUGCAACUCGAGUGCAUGAAGCUGGAAUUACUAGUAAUCGUGGAUCAGCGUGCCACGGUGAAUGCGUUCCCGGGUCUUGUACACACCGCCCGUCACACCAUGGGAGUUGGUUCUACCUUAAGGCAAGGUUUAAUACCCUUGACCACGGUAUAGUCAGCGACUGGGGUGAAGUCAUAACAAGGUAGCCGUA
rnacentral:rRNA from 1 species